rnacentral:lncRNA from 1 species
UCUACUCUUAAAAAAAGAAAUAUAAUGAGCACCAACUUGCAGAUGCAAAAUAUGAAUAUAAAAUUGGUUGCAGAAAGAUCAUGGGGCAUGGCGUUAACAAGCACUAGUGGACCGGAUCAAAGUCGCAAGCAGCACUCAUGUACAACAAGAAUACCAGGCCAACCACACACCCCACACUCACCAAUCAAAUAGAAAGCAUGGCCCAUUCCAACUGAAAGAGGCCAUGCCCCGAUCUUACGAGAGACCAACUUAUGACACUAUUUUUGGCUAUAUAUAAUUCAAGGUCGGAUGCUAUAUUUUUUACAUAUAAUUUUAUGUGUGUAGAGACACAUAUACUUAAUCAAAAGAGGGUGUCAGCAUGUAUGUGUGUGGAGUUAAGGUUUCUUGAUAAAAAUAGGGUGUUACGUUGUGAUUGGUGGUAAUGAUUGGUGUUUAUGGACUUGCCCCCUCUUGGUUCGGGUCAAGUUACUCGACUAAGUUCAAGUGGACUUGCCUGAGCUGGCCAAAAUUUCUAGAUAAUUUUUUUUAAAAAUUAAAAGAAGGAAAUUUUUAAAAAUAAAUAGUAAUAAAAGUAAAAACCAAAUGUGAUUAUAAAAUUUAAAAGUCCAAAUACGCUUAAAAAAAUAUAAAAAAUAAAUUUAUUGUUAGCGACUUUGGCAGAAAAACACUCACUUUCUUUGUAAAAAAAAAGUCUAAAUCAUGUACAAAAUUUUUAUAGAAUCCCACAUUUUUUUAAAAAUUUGUUUUUGAAAAUUUUUAUGCACCCCAAGUUGUACACACAACACGGGCUCACUCAGCUUCGCCCAUAGGCCGAGUUUCUCGCGCAAGUCCAAGUGGACUUGGGUCCCAUAAUACUGUUGAUUAUUGGCAUAAUAGAAUAUUCAAAUUUUUUGGUUCAUAUAUUCACCCUUCAGUUUGUUGGUAAAAGAAAUUCAAAACAGAUCUUGCUUGAUGACUAGGUAAUUGCCAAAACCUAAUAUAUUUGGUGGGUUAGAAAAAUAACAGCUAUACGCCGAAAUAACACAAAUAAAAUUACAUAUAAGGAAGAACUUAAGUACAUUGUGAUUCUUUAAUUAACUAGUGAGAGUUAACUUGGGUGAAUUUUUAUUUGAUGGUUGGGAAAAAUAACUAUAAAAAAGCACCUGUCGACCCAAUAGAAAAGAGAAGGCAUAGAGAUCUUAAAUGAGCAAUCCUAGUAAUAAGGGUGAGGUUUUCAUAAGAUUGCAAUGAAAGUAGGUGCACCUCCAAACUCUAUAAUUUUGGUGUCAAAACUUUUAGAAUAGGCCGACAAUUUAUUUUCAUCUCUAAUUAUAAAAUUGUAAACUUCAAAAAUAUUUCAAAUUAAACAGACUUAUAAAGGCAUGAAAAUCUUAAAAAUAGACGGUCUUGAUAAUAUGUUGCAACAUGUACUAUUUUUAAAACUUGAAAUCUUUUUUUUUCUCCAUAUCCAUACAUCUCGAUGUCGAGAUGAUCAAUUAAAUGGUUUUCCAAUGUCAAAAUAUACUUUUCCGAUAAAUUAAUUUUACAAUUGACUACGUCAACCUUAUAUAAUUUUUUCCUAAUAAUAAAGAGGGCAACAUGCUUAAGUUGUGGUUUCAUGAUGCAAUUGCAACUUUUAUUUAUUUAUUUUUUUGGGUAAUUUAGUGGGGAAUACAGGCGCCUACCUAUUUUUUCAGAUAGAUUAAGGAGUUAGUUAUGAAAAAGCUUUCCAUGUUCCCCUUACAACAUAGAAGUUCUAUCCUCCCUCUACCAUCCAACCGUCUUUUUUUUAUCAAGAGAGUCACUCACCGUUUGAUUUUAGAUCCGACGUAUCAAAGUAUUUUAUUUUUAGUUUUUUUAAUAUAAUUUUUCUGAAUGUGAAAUUUGGUAUGUGCAAUCUUCUCAUUGGGGUGCACCUAUAAAAAAUAGUAACAAUAAUUUUUCGAUAAAAAAUAAUGACCAAAAUAUCCCUUAAAGCUUUCAGAAGUAUUUUGGUCAUUUUAUUUUAUUGAAAAUAUUUUUUUAUAUUUUUCACUAGUGCGAGUUUAAUAGAAGAAUGAAUGUCCAAAAUUUGGUUUCAAAAAAGUUUAUAGAAACAAAAUUAAAAAUAAAAAAGUGUAAAAACGUGACAUUGUGAUUGAGACAAUCUUAACCCUCCAUCCAAAUAUGGACGGUUAAAUAAAAGGAGGGAUAGAACUUGUAGGGAAACAUAGAAAGCUUUCCUAUUAUAUAUGCUCCUCACUUCUAACCAUAUUUCAGGAUUGACAAUCUGAGCCGGUUUCUCUGGCAAUAUAUAAUCCUUUUUUUUCGAGAAACCUCUGUCAAUAUAUAAUAGCUUCGUCGUCUCAUCUCCCUCCUUUUCUCAAUGCUAGAUUUCCGAAAGGUGGGUGCCGUCAAAGUAUAUACAAUUAGAUCUGAAAUGAAAUUACAAAGGCCCCCCAUCACGGGCAGAUGGGUUGUCAAUUUCUUUACUUUUAACCGCUUGCAUCAAGAGAAGAAUCUUUUUUCAUAUGCAAAAACC